AACGAACGCUGGCGGCAUGCCUAACACAUGCAAGUCGAACGAUCCCUUCGGGGAUAGUGGCGCACGGGUGCGUAACGCGUGGGAAUCUGCCCUUGGCUUCGGAAUAACAGUUAGAAAUGACUGCUAAUACCGGAUGAUGUCUUCGGACCAAAGAUUUAUCGGCCAGGGAUGAGCCCGCGUAGGAUUAGGUAGUUGGUGAGGCAAAGGCUCACCAAGCCGACGAUCCUUAGCUAGUCUGAGAGGAUGAUCAGCCACACUGGGACUGAGACACGGCCCAGACUCCUACGGGAGGCAGCAGUGGGGAAUAUUGGACAAUGGGCGCAAGCCUGAUCCAGCAAUGCCGCGUGAGUGAUGAAGGCCUUAGGGUUGUAAAGCUCUUUUACCCGAGAUGAUAAUGACAGUAUCGGGAGAAUAAGCCCCGGCUAACUCCGUGCCAGCCGCCGCCGUAAUAC
rnacentral:rRNA from 1 species